GCCCCUUUAAAUCACUUCUUCUAAAGUGACAUGAUUUCAUUUAUCUCAUUUAUACAAAGGUCACCGAGCACAUAGCCAGCUAAUGAAUGGGAAAGUGUGAAGAACUUCAGACCGCACCAGAAUGAAAAGGCACAGCCUGAGGAUGGCAGGCAGGAAUGUCAGGUUUUAGCAGAACUCCCGACAAUCAUUGUGUUCUGUUGGUCCCCAUGCCCACCUGGUCCUGCCAAGCCUUCCCGUAUCUGCAAUGGGAAUAUCUGAACCAGAAGAAAACUGGAAAUCAUUUCAAGGAAGUAUGUAUCAAGUGGAGGCAGAUGCCAGAGUGUCAGAACACAGCUUACGACCCUGGUGCAGGUGUGUACCUCAUCUGCAGGGCUUUCCUACCAUGUCACCAGUGGGGAAGAUGGAAUGGUCACUAGGAUCCAUCUUAUGUUUACACUGAGUGUAUGACUCAGCC
rnacentral:lncRNA from 1 species